GGUGCUGUGGUGUAGUCGGUUAUCACGUCAGUCUUACACACUGAAGGUCCCCAGCUCGAACCUGGGCAGCACCA
rnacentral:tRNA from 1 species